AACUUGCAGAAAAGUGGAAGUACCAUACAAAGAUGUGCUUGUUGCUGUUGGAGUGUCACUGCUCCCAGGCCCUCACUGUGGACACAGCUACAAAGUAAAUUUUGAAAUCAGUUUUUCAGCCGUGCAGCUGACUGGGCUAGAGAUGCGAAACCUCCACAGUCAUCAGUGUGUCUUUAAAUCAGGCAACCGCUCGGUCCCCACAAGGUCUCACCGGCAUGAGCCCUGCCUGGGUGCUGUGGGGCACGCAAAGCAGCAUCAAAGAGAUACAGCAAAAGGAAAUUUGCAGACAUGAUUAAGUUAACGAUCUGGAAAUGGAGAUAUUAUCCUUGGUGGACCAAAUGUCAUCACAAGCGUACUUCUAAGAGAGAAUCAGGAGGUCAGAGAAGAGAGAAGAUGCUUCGCUGCUGGUUUUGAAGAUGGAAGAAGGGGCCACAACCCAAAGAAUGUAGGUGGCUUCCAGAAGAGGAGAAAAGUCAGGAAAGCAGAUUCUCCUCAAGAGCUCCAGAAGAAAGGUGGCCCUGAUGACUGAUUUUGGACUUUGAUCUCUAGAAGUAUUAAAGGAUAAAUUGUGCUGUAUUAA